UAAUAGAGCAGUAGAGCCAUACACCGCAGAGAUCUCAGGCUGACUUCACAAGCAACAUGUCCUGGGCGGCCUUAUUCAUCACUAUUGUCUAUAUUAGCACAUAUUGUGCUGCACAGAUCACAUUGACACAGUCACCUUCUGAAUCCGUGUCUCCUGGGAGUACAGUGAAAAUCCCCUGUACGGCUAGUGGAAUCACCAUAAGUGGCUAUAUUGG